GCCGGCGUAGCUCAGUUGGUAGAGCAGCGCAUUCGUAAUGCGAAGGUCGGGGGUUCGACUCCUCUCGCCGGCA
rfam:Thiobacillus sp. SCN 63-374 ABS92_C0025, whole genome shotgun sequence.